AUCCAGUUGACGAGUCCCAAACAGGAGGAAAUGCGCAUCCUGUUU
rnacentral:hammerhead_ribozyme from 1 species